GAUGAACGCUAGCGACAGGCCUAACACAUGCAAGUCGAGGGGCAGCGAGGAUGUAGCAAUACAUUUGUCGGCGACCGGCGCACGGGUGAGUAACGCGUAUGCAACCUACCCGACACAGGGGGAUAACCCGGAGAAAUCCGGACUAAUACCGCAUAAAACAGGGGUCCCGCAUGGGAAUAUUUGUUAAAGAGUUAUCGGUGUCGGAUGGGCAUGCGUUCCAUUAGCUAGUUGGUGAGGUAGCGGCUCACCAAGGCAACGAUGGAUAGGGGUUCUGAGAGGAAGGUCCCCCACACUGGUACUGAGACACGGACCAGACUCCUACGGGAGGCAGCAGUGAGGAAUAUUGGUCAAUGGUCUGACGACUGAACCAGCCAUGCCGCGUGAAGGAUACGGGCCCUAUGGGUCUUAAACUUCUUUUGUAAGGGNGCAAUAAGCGCCACGUGUGGCUGAUGAGAGUACCUUAGAAUAAGCAUCGGCUAACUCCGUGCCAGCA
rnacentral:rRNA from 1 species